UGGCUGUGAUGGCAAGAACAUACAUUUCUCGAUGCUGAGACUUGAUUUGUUCAAGGACCAAAAUUUUGAUGAGAUCUAUGCGUGUCUGAGCCGG